rnacentral:rRNA from 1 species
CGGCGAUGUCCGAAUGGGGAAACCCAGUGCAAUUCGUUGCACUAUCGUUAACUGAAUACAUAGGUUAACGAGGCGAACCGGGGGAACUGAAACAUCUAAGUACCCCGAGGAAAAGAAAUCAACCGAGAUUCCCCCAGUAGCGGCGAGCGAACGGGGAGCAGCCCAGAGUCUGAAUCAGCUUGUGUGUUAGUGGAACGGUCUGGAAAGUCCGACGGUACAGGGUGAUAGUCCCGUACACCAAAAUGCACAGGUUGUGAACUCGAAGAGUAGGGCGGGACACGUGGUAUCCUGUCUGAAUAUGGGGGGACCAUCCUCCAAGGCUAAAUACUCCUGACUGACCGAUAGUGAACCAGUACCGUGAGGGAAAGGCGAAAAGAACCCCGGCGAGGGGAGUGAAAAAGAACCUGAAACCGUGUACGUACAAGCAGUGGGAGCACCUUCGGGUGUGACUGCGUACCUUUUGUAUAAUGGGUCAGCGACUUAUAUUCUGUAGCAAGGUUAACCGUAUAGGGGAGCCGCAGGGAAACCGAGUCUUAACUGGGCGUUAAGUUGCAGGGUAUAGACCCGAAACCCGGUGAUCUAGCCAUGGGCAGGUUGAAGGUUGGGUAACACUAACUGGAGGACCGAACCGACUAAUGUUGAAAAAUUAGCGGAUGACUUGUGGCUGGGGGUGAAAGGCCAAUCAAACCGGGAGAUAGCUGGUUCUCCCCGAAAGCUAUUUAGGUAGCGCCUCGUGAACUCAUCUUCGGGGGUAGAGCACUGUUUCGGCUAGGGGGUCAUCCCGACUUACCAACCCGAUGCAAACUACGAAUACCGAAGAAUGUUAUCACGGGAGACACACGGCGGGUGCUAACGUCCGUCGUGAAGAGGGAAACAACCCAGACCGCCAGCUAAGGUCCCAAAGUCAUGGUUAAGUGGGAAACGAUGUGGGAAGGCACAGACAGCCAGGAUGUUGGCUUAGAAGCAGCCAUCAUUUAAAGAAAGCGUAAUAGCUCACUGGUCGAGUCGGCCUGCGCGGAAGAUGUAACGGGGCUAAACCAUGCACCGAAGCUGCGGCAGCGACACUAUGUGUUGUUGGGUAGGGGAGCGUUCUGUAAGCCUGCGAAGGUGACCUGUGAGGGUUGCUGGAGGUAUCAGAAGUGCGAAUGCUGACAUAAGUAACGAUAAAGCGGGUGAAAAGCCCGCUCGCCGGAAGACCAAGGGUUCCUGUCCAACGUUAAUCGGGGCAGGGUGAGUCGACCCCUAAGGCGAGGCCGAAAGGCGUAGUCGAUGGGAAACAGGUUAAUAUUCCUGUACUUGGUGUUACUGCGAAGGGGGGACGGAGAAGGCUAUGUUAGCCGGGCGACGGUUGUCCCGGUUUAAGCAUGUAGGCUGGUUAUCCAGGCAAAUCCGGAUAAUCAAGGCUGAGGUGUGAUGACGAGGCACUACGGUGCUGAAGUAACAAAUGCCCUGCUUCCAGGAAAAGCCUCUAAGCAUCAGGUAACAUCAAAUCGUACCCCAAACCGACACAGGUGGUCAGGUAGAGAAUACCAAGGCGCUUGAGAGAACUCGGGUGAAGGAACUAGGCAAAAUGGUGCCGUAACUUCGGGAGAAGGCACGCUGGUGUGUAGGUGAAGCCCCUGCGGGUGGAGCUGAGACCAGUCGAAGAUACCAGCUGGCUGCAACUGUUUAUUAAAAACACAGCACUGUGCAAACACGAAAGUGGACGUAUACGGUGUGACGCCUGCCCGGUGCCGGAAGGUUAAUUGAUGGGGUUAUCCGUAAGGAGAAGCUCUUGAUCGAAGCCCCGGUAAACGGCGGCCGUAACUAUAACGGUCCUAAGGUAGCGAAAUUCCUUGUCGGGUAAGUUCCGACCUGCACGAAUGGCGUAAUGAUGGCCAGGCUGUCUCCACCCGAGACUCAGUGAAAUUGAACUCGCUGUGAAGAUGCAGUGUACCCGCGGCAAGACGGAAAGACCCCGUGAACCUUUACUAUAGCUUGACACUGAACAUUGAGCCUUGAUGUGUAGGAUAGGUGGGAGGCUUUGAAGCGUGGACGCCAGUCUGCGUGGAGCCAACCUUGAAAUACCACCCUUUAAUGUUUGAUGUUCUAACGUUGGCCCCUGACCGGGGUUGCGGACAGUGUCUGGUGGGUAGUUUGACUGGGGCGGUCUCCUCCCAAAGCGUAACGGAGGAGCACGAAGGUUAGCUAAUCCUGGUCGGACAUCAGGAGGUUAGUGCAAUGGCAUAAGCUAGCUUGACUGCGAGCGUGACGGCGCGAGCAGGUGCGAAAGCAGGUCAUAGUGAUCCGGUGGUUCUGAAUGGAAGGGCCAUCGCUCAACGGAUAAAAGGUACUCCGGGGAUAACAGGCUGAUACCGCCCAAGAGUUCAUAUCGACGGCGGUGUUUGGCACCUCGAUGUCGGCUCAUCACAUCCUGGGGCUGAAGUAGGUCCCAAGGGUAUGGCUGUUCGCCAUUUAAAGUGGUACGCGAGCUGGGUUUAGAACGUCGUGAGACAGUUCGGUCCCUAUCUGCCGUGGGCGCUGGAGAAUUGAGGGGGGCUGCUCCUAGUACGAGAGGACCGGAGUGGACGCAUCACUGGUGUUCGGGUUGUCAUGCCAAUGGCACUGCCCGGUAGCUAAAUGCGGAAGAGAUAAGUGCUGAAAGCAUCUAAGCACGAAACUUGCCCCGAGAUGAGUUCUCCCUGAGACUUUAAGUCUCCUGAAGGAACGUUAAAGACGAUGACGUUGAUAGGCCGGGUGUGUAAGCGCAGCGAUGCGUUGAGCUAACCGGUACUAAUGAACCGUGAGGCUUAACCUU